GUUCACUGCUCCCUCCGUCCCAUUUUCACGCCUAACUUUAAUCGUCUGUUUUUUUAUAAUUUAUAUCUUUAUUGUUAUGAGAUGAUAAAACAUGAAUAGUAUUUUAUGUGUGACUUAUAUUUUUAAUUUUUUUAAAAAAAUUGAAUAAGAUGAAUGGUUAAAGUUGUACGCGGAAAAUUAUGGCUGCAUUCAAA
rfam:Oryza sativa Japonica Group DNA, chromosome 3, cultivar: Nipponbare, complete sequence.